rnacentral:lncRNA from 1 species
CGCCAAUGUACCUGACCCCCAGAGGCUGCACCAUGAGGUGCGCUUUCAGCCCUGCCCACUCAAGACCCUCCUUCAUGAGCUCCAUCGUCUUCAAGCUGGUGUCGGGCCCAAAGCGGCAGUUCACGCCAACGAUGGAAGCCCCUGUGCAAAGAAAUAACACUUACAUUUUAUUAUUUAUUUGUUUAUUCUUUUUUUUUAAUAGUUGGAAGGUACCUUAGAGGUUAGCCAUUCCCCUCCACCUCCCACAAUUUACAGAUAAGAAAACUGAUUGGAGUUCAUUCUUCU